UAAAAAUGCUGGCUUAGAAGACUUAGCAUAUGUACCUAUUGAAAAGUUACACCAACUGAAGUUUGUUUGUGGUGGGCACUUCACUCCUGAAUCCUUCAAUGCCAAAGGAACUCGGCUGAAGAACUCAGCUAUUCCAACACUGGAAUUGAGCAAUCCCAUCUUGCCAGAUGAAGUUUUGACAGAGUUUCCUCUUCAUGUAAAAGACUCCAAUAAAGAAAACCUCAAGACAGUUCUUUAUGAUCAUUCAUAUUGCAUUCCAAAGAAGUCAAAUCCAGUUGAACGAGUUCCCCUUACAACUACAACCAAACAACUAAAUUCAACAUGUUUGGGAGCUGUGGAUAUACCAGAUUCUGGUAUUUCUGCGAAAACAACUUUUGAACCUCUUCCUUCUACUUCCAAUGCACCAGAACAUAUGACCUAUAAACCCAUUACUCAUGAUGAUAAAAACAUUUGCCAUCAAGAUGCACAGGCAGAAAUAUUAGUCCACAGUUAUAAAAGACCUAAGAAAAACAUUGAAAUGAAAGACACUUCAUCAACAUUUACAAUUAAAGAGAAGAGGCUUUGGCGACAGUUACAAAAUGCAAAAAAAACAAUAAGGAAUAUAGCGAAGGUAGUUGCAGAAGAACACAACAGAAAUUUUUUAAAUAUUAAAAAACUGAAUAGUACCAUUGUAAAUCCAACAUUCAAAACUAAGAUGAGGGUGAAGUAUGCUGCGCAUGCUCUGAGUAAUACCGUGGCAGCUAUUUUAAAAAUGAUGGCAUGGAAAGAAGUUUCUGAUUGCAAUGAUACAGCAUUUGUGAUUGAACAGUUAGAUAAACUAUUUGAUUGUACAAAUGGUCCAUCAUCUUUAAAUGACGUAAAGAAAGGGAUCCGGGAAAAUGUUUCCACAUCAAGUAAUCACAUUGAGUCUUGGACCUUUUAUACUGAUAAGUUAAAAACCAUAAAAUUUAUAACAGCAGAAAACACGAUACUAAAAAAUGUUAAAUGCGUAAAGGGAUAUCAAAUAUCUAUCAAAUCCUUAAACGAUAUUUGGGAAAAGUUAAAGAAUGAAGGGUUUAAAUAUAUGAACCUUAGACAGUUUAACCAAGACUCUCUGGAAAACUUAUUUGGAAUCAUUAGGCAACACAGUGUAACCAAUAGAAAUCCCACUAUCACGCACUUUUUGGUGUAGUGGUUCAGAACGGACUACUAUGCCGAGAGGUCCCGGGUUCGAUUCCCGGCCGGGCAGAAAUUGAAAUGAUGAAUUUUAAUUUCUGUGACGGGUCUGGGUGUUGCUAUGUAUAAUAUGUAUGUAUUUAAAAAAAAAAAAGUAUAUAAGUAGUAUAUCCGUUAAGCUAGCACCCAUAACACAAGCAUAUUAAUUGCUUACUUUGGGGCUAGAUGGCGCUGAGUGAGAUUGUCCAAAGAUAUUUUAAAAAAAAAAUGUCAACAACAUAAUAAAUAAAUUUAUGAUAAGAUGUUUAAAAUAUUAAGUUACCUUUUUCUAAGAAAAAGUUGUAAAAUCAUUAAUGACAGCUUCAUAAAAAGUGAAAACAAUUUUGCUGACAAAAGUAAAAAAGCACAGCAACAAAGCAUUGAAAAGUAAUCUUAGGGCUGAGGUUCGAUCAGCUGAUAAGAAAAUUAAAGAUGUUUAUAAAUAAAAAUCCUAUUUUUUCUUAGAAAAAGUUGUGAAAAUAAAAGUUUACAAAAUUAUCAUUUCUGUACUUUGUUAUAAUUUUCAAUAAUUCCUCAUGCCUACAACUGCUAUGUCAUGUUCAAUACUUAUUGUA